rnacentral:rRNA from 1 species
ACACAUGCAAGUCGAGGGGCAGCAUGAACUUAGCUUGCUAAGUUUGAUGGCGACCGGCGCACGGGUGAGUAACACGUAUCCAACCUGCCGAUGACUCGGGGAUAGCCUUUCGGAAGAAAGAUUAAUACCCGAUGGCAUAAUUCUUCCGCAUGGUAGAAUUAUUAAAGAAUUUCGGUCAUCGAUGGGGAUGCGUUCCAUUAGGUUGUUGGCGGGGUAACGGCCCACCAAGCCUUCGAUGGAUAGGGGUUCUGAGAGGAAGGUCCCCCACAUUGGAACUGAGACACGGUCCAAACUCCUACGGGAGGCAGCAGUGAGGAAUAUUGGUCAAUGGACGAGAGUCUGAACCAGCCAAGUAGCGUGAAGGAUGACUGCCCUAUGGGUUGUAAACUUCUUUUAUACGGGAAUAAAGUGAGGCACGUGUGCCUUUUUGUAUGUACCGUAUGAAUAAGGAUCGGCUAACUCCGUGCCAGCAGCCGCGGUAAUACGGAGGAUCCGAGCGUUAUCCGGAUUUAUUGGGUUUAAAGGGAGCGUAGGCGGACGCUUAAGUCAGUUGUGAAAGUUUGCGGCUCAACCGUAAAAUUGCAGUUGAUACUGGGUGUCUUGAGUACAGUAGAGGCAGGCGGAAUUCGUGGUGUAGCGGUGAAAUGCUUAGAUAUCACG